rnacentral:rRNA from 1 species
CUCACGGCACCGCAUGGUGCAGGGAGGAAAGCCGAGACGGUGAAGGAUGGCUCCGCGUCGGAUUAGCCAGUUGGCGGGGUAACGGCCCACCAAAGCGAUGAUCCGUAGCCGGCCUGAGAGGGCGACCGGCCACAUUGGGACUGAGACACGGCCCAAACUCCUACGGGAGGCAGCAGUGGGGGAUAUUGCACAAUGGGGGAAACCCUGAUGCAGCGACGCCGCGUGAAGGAAGAAGUGCUUCGGCAUGUAAACUUCUAUCAGCAGGGAAGAAGAUGACGGUACCUGCACAAGAAGCCCCGGCUAACUACGUGCCAGCAGCCGCGGUAAUACGUAGGGGGCAAGCGUUAUCCGGAUUUACUGGGUGUAAAGGGAGCGUAGACGGCAAUGCAAGUCUGAUGUGAAAACCCGGGGCUCAACCGCGGGAUUGCAUUGGAAACUGUAUAGCUCGAGUACUGGAGGGGCAGGCGGAAUUCCUGGUGUAGCGGUGAAAUGCGUAGAUAUCAGGAGGAACACCGGUGGCGAAGGCGGCCUGCUGGACAGAGACUGACGUUGAGGCUCGAAAGCGUGGGGAGCAAACAGG